rnacentral:lncRNA from 1 species
UUUGAAUGCAAAGAGUUCUGUUCCAUUGUCUACCAGGAAAGUCACAAGUUUCUCCUGGACUUUUGCAAUGACAGUGGGCUCUCAGGGGCCCAAUUUGGUAGGGCUUAGUCUAUUCUAUCUAUUCAGGCCCAACAGGCUGCAACUUAUUUGUCAGGGCUGAAUGUCCAAUUUUUUCUCAGUCAAAAUGUGGAACUCUGAAGGAAUUGUUAACAGUCAUCUCAGGGAACUCAACUCAGCUCUUGAGGCUGUCAUACGCAAGCUCAGGAAAGGAGAUAUGAUUAAACAAGGAAUUCUGAAGGCCGUGGGGACAUCUGGAGACACCCAAAAGUUUACAUCUGAUAUUUCAAAGGACUCUGUCCACUCAGAUGCAAGAUUUCUGGAAAACUGUAACCACAAAUGUUCAUUGAAAACUUCCCACCUAAUAUCCACCACUUUCUCUUCAUCCCUAUAAAAAGGGACACAUUUCUCUUUGUUUGGGGCAGAAGCAUUUAUCACGCUCUCUGCCUGAGCCCAGACUCAAUAAAUUCUAUGCCAUGUUGC